rnacentral:lncRNA from 1 species
AUAUAUAGACACUACAACAAAAAUGGUCUAUAGCGACACUUUUAAAUAUCGGUACAGGUCAAAAAAAAGUGCUACUGGCUAAAUUACCGACACUUUUAAAAAGUGUUGCUAUAUGUGGAGUCGCUAGGUAUAUAGUGACAGUUAAAGAGUGUCACUAUAAUCUAAAAAGAGUGCUGAUAACUUACCAACACUUAUUUAAGUAUUCAGCAACCGCCGGAACUCUACCUCGUUGGCUGCGGUGGCGGAGGAGGACGAGAGGAAGGGAUCUUCGUCUAGGAUUUCAGUCGAUUGAGUGAGGGAAGAAGGAAAAAUGGUAAUCAAUUUUUCAUUUUUUUUUCUUUUCUGUUUGUAAUCGGGUCGAAUGGGCUAGGUGGGGUGGGUUGAGAAGAGUAACAUUUUAUUUUUGGUUGGAUUGGACUUUAUAUUUAGGCAUUAGUAGUUUUUUUUUUAAGUUUUGACAUAAAUGGGACACUUACACAAAAGUGUCCUAAACAUGUGUCCCUAUAAUCUAAUUCUGUUGUAGUGAGAAUUAGGCAACCAAGUGCUUGGUGAUAUUAGGUUUUCAGUUCUUGGAUGAAGGGAUGUGCGAUUAUGAUGAUAGUGAUUUUCGAUUAGGAUAAUAGUGAUCCCCUAAGGUUGAGGGGGUGAUUGGUUGAAUAGUAUGAUUUUAGGGACAAAAAUAAUUGAAAGGGCAGAUAUAACGGGAAAAACUUGAUAGCAUGAAGUGUUUGGUACUAUUGAUAGUAUAGUAGCCAUUUAAAAGCACCAAGUUAUUAGUGCUGGUAGGUUUCCAACUUUUUGAUGAAGAUUUGUAAGGUUAAGAUAAUAAUAGUUUCUUAGAAUUGAGUGGAUGGUUGGUAGAAUAGCAUAAUCUAAGAGGUGAAAUUAGUCAAAGAGAUAGAUCUAAUUAACGAUACAAAACUUAGAAGUACAUACUUUUAAAAGUAUCAUAGUCGAACUCUCUUUCUC